UAGGUUUCCUGAAUACUGUUGCUGAC
rnacentral:piRNA from 1 species